rnacentral:lncRNA from 1 species
GUGCCAAUUCUGUUGGUACAGAAUUUUGCCGACAUCGGAGAAGCUGGAGUCGAAGGGAUUAUGGCCACCGUCGGGACCAUCGAUGUCGGAGAAGCUGGAGCCGAGGGGAUCGCGGCCACUGUCGGGACCUGCAAAUAAAGUCUAAAUCGGAGUUGGGGGUGCACCGACAAGACCCUCCGAUGCUCAAGUCAGUACUCUGCCUCAACAGAAAUGGAGCACUCAAAUGGGAUUUUAGCAGAGUUUCGGGAUAUAGUUUUGAACUUAGAGAAGAACGUAUCUGGGGGUCCCCUUUUAUAGAUGGAGAGCGUAACUGAUUGACAGCGACAUCUGUAACUGUCUGGUAGUGGGCCGUUCGAGGCCAUGUGGAGUUUGUUAUGGAGAGUAGUGGCAUCAGGGGGCCAUUCAGGGCCAC